UACGUAGGUGGCAAGCGUUGUCCGGAUUUACUGGGCGUAAAGAGCGCGCAGGCGGUCGUUCAAGUCGCGUGUGAAAGCCCCCGGCUCAACUGGGGAGGGUCACGCGAUACUGAUCGACUCGAAGGCAGGAGAGGGAAGUGGAAUUCCCGGUGUAGUGGUGAAAUGCGUAGAUAUCGGGAGGAACACCGAUGGCGAAGGCAGCUCGCUGGGACGUUACUGACGCUGAGGCGCGAAAGCGUGGGGAGCAAACAGG
rnacentral:rRNA from 1 species